ACUGAGGCCUAUCCUGACAGACUCCUCACAGUGGGCCCCUAGUAAUUGAAAAUGCCUCAAAGGACAAAUCUGUGGUUUGGCUUUACCCUCAUGGCUACUUUCAUUAGCCCUGUGGGAUAUGCCGUAGAGUCCAGUC
rnacentral:snoRNA from 1 species